rnacentral:lncRNA from 1 species
AAUCAUAAUUCCAAGACCUUCCAUAAUAGAAAAUGACAACAAACAUGUGAUAAACCAAAAGUUACAACCCAACUUGUAGUUCCACAAAAAAUAUUAAGUUAAUUAAAGUUGGCCAAGACAAAAGUUAGAAAUAAGUAGCAAGCAGCCAAGCACCAUGAAUAGGUUGACACUAUUUUGUUUAACUGAAGUUCUAAACUAAUCAAUACUCAAAGGGUCACCUGGACAUUCUGGAAAAAAAAACAGUUAUAUGUUAAACAAUAUAAAGAUAGAAUUAAAUUCAUUACGAAUUAAAUAUAUAAAAUUACCUUCUUCAACUUGCUCAAUUUUCUUAAUUUCUUCUAGAUAGUCUUGAAGCUUGCAUUCCUUCUUAGAGAACCUUUAACAUUAAGAGUGAUUUCAUCACAAAUGUAAGUGCAAUAUUGGAUUGAAAGAACACAACUCGUAACAUCAAAUUUCAGGACCAACAAUCUAAGAUAACAAUUAUACCCAAAUUUAAAGGGACAAAAUAACAUAAUUGAUUUAAAUAAAUACUUUAGCUUACCAAAUUGAGUUAGAGCAGUAAGACUAAUAUGUAAUUACAAACUUGAACAGUGGCUCGGAAUUGCAAAGAAGGAAGCUCGUCGUGAAGUGGAUGGAAGGGUUUUCACUAUUUGGGGUUUUUUGACUUUGGAGUUGGAAG